rnacentral:rRNA from 1 species
GUGCACGCUGGCGGUCGGCCUAACACAUGCAAGUCGAACGGCAGCACAGUAAGAGCUUGCUCUUACGGGUGGCGAGUGGCGGACGGGUGAGGAAUACAUCGGAAUCUACUUUUUCGUGGGGGAUAACGUAGGGAAACUUACGCUAAUACCGCAUACGACCUACGGGUGAAAGCAGGGGAUCUUCGGACCUUGCGCGAUUGAAUGAGCCGAUGUCGGAUUAGCUAGUUGGCGGGGUAAAGGCCCACCAAGGCGACGAUCCGUAGCUGGUCUGAGAGGAUGAUCAGCCACACUGGAACUGAGACACGGUCCAGACUCCUACGGGAGGCAGCAGUGGGGAAUAUUGGACAAUGGGCGCAAGCCUGAUCCAGCCAUACUGCGUGGGUGAAGAAGGCCUUCGGGUUGUAAAGCCCUUUUGUUGGGAAAGAAAAGCAGCAGGUUAAUACCCCGCUGUUCUGACGGUACCCAAAGAAUAAGCACCGGCUAACUUCGUG